rnacentral:misc_RNA from 1 species
GUAUUGUAUUGCGUUAAACGCGGUGCGCAUUCCAUAAGACUUUGUUACAGCGUGUGUGUAAAGAUGCAGAACCACAGAAGGGAGGCAGAGCCCCCCAGACCGUAGAACUACAGAGGGUGCACAGGUGUGAGUGGAUGUGUAAACAGAGCGUGCACGUGUCCCCUUUCGAGGACCAGCAACAACUCGUGUCAACGACUCAGUAAUGAUCCUUCCGCAGGUUCACCUACGGAAA